CCUACGGGUGGCUGCAGUCGAGAAUUAUUCACAAUGGGGGAAACCCUGAUGGUGCGAUGCCGCGUGAGGGAAUGAAGGUCUUCGGAUUGUAAACCCCUGUCAUGUGGGAGCAAAUUAAAAAGAUAGUACCACAAGAGGAAGAGACGGCUAACUCUAUGCCAGCAGCCGCGGUAAUACAGAGGUCUCAAGCGUUGUUCGGAAUCACUGGGCGUAAGGCGUGCGUAGGCUGUUUCGUAAGUCGUGUGUGAAAGGCGCGGGCUCAAGCCGCGGACGGCACAUGAUACUGCGAGACUAGAGUAAGGGAGGGGGAACCGGAAUGCUCGGUGUAGCAGUGAAAUGCGUAGAUAUCGAGAGGAACACUCGUGGCGAAGGCGGGUUCCUGGACAGUAACUGACGCUGAGGCACGAAGGCCAGGGGAGCGAAAGGGAUUAGAUACCCUAGUAGUC
rnacentral:rRNA from 1 species